rnacentral:lncRNA from 10 species
CCAAAAAGCAGCUGGACAGCACAAUUGGAAUCCACCCUGUCUGUGCAGAGGUAUUCACAACAUUGUCUGUGACCAAGCGCUCUGGGGCAAGCAUCCUCCAGGCUGGCUGCUGAGGUUAAGCCCCAGUGUGGAUGCUGUUGCCAAGACUGCAAACCACUGGCUCGUUUCCGUGCCCAAAUCCAAGGCGAAGUUUUCUAGAGGGUUCUUGGGCUCUUGGCACCUGCGUGUCCUGUGCUUACCACCGCCCAAGGCCCCCUUGGAUCUCUUGGAUAGGAGUUGGUGAAUAGAAGGCAGGCAGCAUCACACUGGGGUCACUGACAGACUUGAAGCUGACAUUUGGCAGGGCAUCGAAGGGAUGCAUCCAUGAAGUCACCAGUCUCAAGCCCAUGUGGUAGGCGGUGAUGGAACAACUGUCAAAUCAGUUUUAGCAUGACCUUUCCUUGUGGAUUUUCUUAUUCUCGUUGUCAAGUUUUCUAGGGUUGAAUUUUUUUCUUUUUUCUCCAUGGUGUUAAUGAUAUUAGAGAUGAAAAACGUUAGCAGUUGAUUUUUGUCCAAAAGCAAGUCAUGGCUAGAGUAUCCAUGCAAGGUGUCUUGUUGCAUGGAAGGGAUAGUUUGGCUCCCUUGGAGGCUAUGUAGGCUUGUCCCGGGAAAGAGAACUGUCCUGCAGCUGAAAUGGACUGUUCUUUACUGACCUGCUCAGCAGUUUCUUCUCUCAUAUAUUCCCAAAACAAGUACAUCUGCGAUCAACUCUAGCCAAAUUUGCCCCUGUGUGCUACAUGAUGGAUGAUUAUUAUUUUAAGGUCUGUUUAGGAAGGGAAAUGGCUACUUGGCCAGCCAUUGCCUGGCAUUUGGUAGUAUAGUAUGAUUCUCACCAUUAUUUGUCAUGGAGGCAGACAUACACCAGAAAUGGGGGAGAAACAGUACAUAUCUUUCUGUCUUUAGUUUAUUGUGUGCUGGUCUAAGCAAGCUGAGAUCAUUUGCAAUGGAAAACACGUAACUUGUUUAAAAGUUUUUCUGGUAGCUUUAGCUUUAUGCUAAAAAAAAUAAUGACAUUGGGUAUCUAUUUCUUUCUAAGACUACAUUAGUAGGAAAAUAAGUCUUUUCAUGCUUAUGAUUUAGCUGUUUUGUGGUAAUUGCUUUUUAAAGGAAGUUAUUAAUAUCAUAAGUUAUUAUUAAUAUUUUGAACACAGGUGGAUGUGAAGGAUUUUCAUUUAAAAACCAAGUGGUUUUGACUUUUUCUGUUGAAUGAACAACUGUGCCUUGUGGAAUUUUUGCAGAAGUGUUUAUGCUUUGUUAGCAUUUCAACUUGCAUUAUUAUAAAGAGGUAUUAAUGCCUCAGUUAUGUGUUUGUCAAUGUACUGGCUGAGGAUUCUAUCUCAGCUGUCUUUUCUAACUGUGUAGGUUGAGUUUUGAACACGUGCUUGUGGACAUCAGGCCUCCUGCCAGCAGUUCUUGAAGCUUCUUUUUCAUUCCUGCUACUCUACCUGUAUUUCUCAGUUGCAGCACUGAGUGGUCAAAAUACAUUUCUGGGCCACCUCAGGGAACCCAUGCAUCUGCCUGGCAUUUAGGCAGCAGAGCCCCUGACCGUCCCCCACAGGGCUCUGCCUCACGUCCUCAUCUCAUUUGGCUGUGUAAAGAAAUGGGAAAAGGGAAAAGGAGAGAGCAAUUGAGGCAGUUGACCAUAUUCAGUUUUAUUUAUUUAUUUUUAAUUUGUUUUUUUCUCCAAGUCCACCAGUCUCUGAAAUUAGAACAGUAGGCGGUAUGAGAUAAUCAGGCCUAAUCAUGUUGUGAUUCUCUUUUCUUAGUGGAGUGGAAUGUUCUAUCCCCACAAGAAGGAUUAUAUCUUAUAGACUUGUCUUGUUCAGAUUCUGUAUUUACCCAUUUUAUUGAAACAUAUACUAAGUUCCAUGUAUUUUUGUUACAAAUCUUCUGAAAAAAAACAAAACAAUGUGAAACAUUAAAAUUAAAAGGCAUUAAUAAU